rnacentral:rRNA from 1 species
UACGUAGGUGGCAAGCGUUGUCCGGAAUUAUUGGGCGUAAAGAGCUCGUAGGCGGCUUGUUGCGUCAGCUGUGAAAACCCGCAGCUCAACUGUGGGCUUGCAGCUGAUACGGGCAGGCUUGAGUUCGGUAGGGGAGACUGGAAUUCCUGGUGUAGCGGUGAAAUGCGCAGAUAUCAGGAGGAACACCGGUGGCGAAGGCGGGUCUCUGGGCCGAUACUGACGCUGAGGAACGAAAGCGUGGGGAGCAAACAGG